AUUAGGAAGACAUUGGCCAUUCCCCAGUCUGGCUAUUCACUGACAAAAUCACUGAUACUUGCUGUCUGUAUAUGGUGCACGCCAUAGUUGGAAAACUCUCUGCUUACGAGGCUGGAUGAGGACACCUUGUACUGUGCAAAGACGUGGAACAAACGAUACACGCCAGGACUGCAUGCACAAUGCAGGAAGCAUUGUUGUGCUAUGGAGACAGGAAGAUCAGAAAUGUGGGGAGAACAAGGUUUUGGCCAUUGUGAUGGACAGUGCUGCAUAUAUGCUGAAGGCCGCAGAGUGUCUCCGUGUGUUUUACCCUAAAAUUAUUCACCUCACGUGUCUGGGUCAUGGCAUCCAUCGAGUUGCUGAAGAGGUCAGAACCACAUUGCCAGAGGUCAACAGCCUUAUAUCUUCGGCAAAGAAGGUUUUCAUCAAGGCACCAAAUAGAGUGAGAGCUUAGAAGGCUGCUCUCCCUGACUGUCCUCUGCUACCUGAGCCAGUCUUGACGAGGUGGGGAACAUGGAUUUCAGCUGCAAACUAUUUUGCAGACAACCACAGAAAAGUUGAAGAGGCCCUAAAGGGCUUUGAAGAUAUCGAAAAUUUAGCCAUACGAAAAGCCAAGGAUGCCCUGAAGAAUUCCAAAGUGUUACACAGCCUAUCUUCCAUCUGAGUGCAAUUGGGUGGCCUUCCAGACCUAACUGAGAAACUUGAGACUCUUAACAUGGAAGAUACUAAGGCAGUGGCUCUCGUCGAAGGACUCAGGACACAGAGCAAGAGUUGGCCAGGUCAGAUUGGUGAGAGACUGAAAAUGUUGUUAUCUGACCACAGCAAAAUUUUCAUGUAGAUAAUAUGGAAAAAA